rnacentral:RNase_P_RNA from 1 species
GGAGUGGGUUAGGUGAUCGCUUAUUCCUGCGUGGGCCAGGGAAUGGGAGGAAAGUCCGGACUCCACAGGGCAGGGUGCUGGGUAACGCCCAGGCGGAGCAAUCCGACAUGAGCGCCACAGAAAACAUACCGCCAGUGACUGGGUCUUUCGAGAUCCUCUCAGGUAAGGGUGAAAUGGUGGGGUAAGAGCCCACCGCAUUCAUGGCGACAUGAAUGGCAGGGCAAGCAUCACCCGGAGCAAGACCAAAUAGGGGAACGAACCGAACGGGGUAUUCUUCAUCCUCAUGCUUGAGGCCCUUCUGGGUGAAGAAUUUACCAUCAUGUUCGAGAGAGGUCGGCCCGGCCGAAGUUCCCGGGUAGGUUGCUAGAAGCCUACGGUAACGUGGGUUCCAGAGACAUGAUCACCCUCAUGUAUUGAUACAUGGGACAGAAUCCGGCUUAUCGACCCACUCCAUGC